rnacentral:lncRNA from 1 species
UUUUUUCCAGAUUUUAUUUUAGUCUUUAUCCUCUCAUUCUCACACCUAAACCCAACCAAAAAUGGGAUGUCGAACCUAGUUGUAGCACCCCCUUUAAAUAGGGAAAAGGGGGGAACACCAUGGGAUGCCAACCCUUAGCGUCCCUUAAUUCUUACAUGCCUCCAACAAAUUUUAGUAUGGAAUCCCAAGGUGUGUGGUAUAGAAAAGGAGGUGUUUCAUCUAUAGAAGGGCUCUUCCUCUACCUGAAAAAAUCAAUACACCAUCAUAUGGUGCAUGGAAGAUGGAGAAUGCAUGAAAUACUAAGAGUCUAUGAUAUUAUAGACUCUUCCAUAUCAAUGCAAAUAUUUGGCAUCUCAUUUAUUAUUGGGCAUUCAAAUUCCUUCAAAGAGAAGGACUC